UAGACAGAAAUUACACUGAAGUCAUGUUUCAGCUAGUCAAGGCAAGGCAUCAAGACUAGAGAAAACAACUGGUAAACUGGUAUGCCAAGUACAGUAAAACCAACAUUAUAUACAGAUUCCCUGAAAUGGUAUAUGCAGUACAAGACAAAAAAACAAUAUGAAAUGCAAACUAGCGAUAGUAAAUCAAGUCUAUUCUAUCACACUGAGAUUAGUAUGGGGAGAAAAAUAAACAUACAGAAAGGAAACUUUAUUUUCAGUUUAUAGACUCAAAAGCUUCCUAAACAGUGAGAUUUAGAUGAAACAAAUAUACAGUAUAUCUCAGACAAUUAGGUAAGUAAAUGAGAAAGGUGUACAGGAGAAAAAAAGGUUGCAUAGUACACAAACACUUAAACAGCACACUGACAUCACCAGUCAAUGACAGCGAUAGGAAGCUAUUAUUUAUAUGCAAUCAGUAGAUCUCUGAAAAUAAAGGGACACCAUCAACCUAUCAAGUAAAUUUCUAAAAGUGAGUUAAAAGUGGUUUCCAGCACUAUUCCUGCUUCUGUUUCCUUCUACAAGUUUCUGUGGCUUUACAAUCACUUUCCCCUAUUUUUAAAGUGUAUUUUUUCCCCCAUUUCUGUAAGAGUGUCUCGCAAUCAACAGGGAAGUGACUAUACAAAAGAAAUAUUGAACCUGACUAAACACAAAAUGCUGUGAAACAAAGUAAACAAACAAAUAUUUUGGGGUGACAACUCCUUUCAAUCAUAGUAACUUUAGAUGUUAUAUUAAUUAUACUCGGUACAUGAUUUUAAGACAAACACUAUUUUUCAGUUGAUGGUGUCCCACUGACUGAAUCCUUUUAAAAAGUCUUUGACCUGAAAAAGGCUACAGCAUGUAGAGGGAAGAGGCAGUUGCUAGAAGUCCAAAGGAGCAUAAACUAACUUGUAUUCAAUCUCCUAUUUCUUAACAGCUUUUAAAAAGUACUUUAUGUAAUUGCCUCAGGGAAAACAGUAUUUUAACUCAGAGUUUUAUAUUACUAAGUUUACUUGCAUGGAAAAUAAAUUAUUCCCUAAGGGACAAAACCUUUAUCUAGUUUCAGGGCUGCAUGCUGGAGGAUUUCUGUGUGGACAAGAGGGUGGAAGAAAUCCUUAUUCUGACUGCAGUUCAGUACAAAAUCUAUUCCACUGUCAUUAAUGCAACUUCAGGUUUACAAUAGCUUCUGUGGCUCCUGUGCAUUGAUUUUGGGAGUGUGUUUUUUGGGUUGGGGAGGCAUGGUUUGAAGGGGUAGGGCAGAGCCGGCCAGAAGAUCUACUGAGUAUAUGCCUUCCCAAAACCCAUUUGCAUGCAGGCAUGCUGGAAGUCCCCACUGAACAUAGCUUUGCAGCAUAGAGGUUGGGACCCUUGCACGAGGUUCCAAAAUCCUGCCCUCCCUUCUGCAACAGAACCUCAUAAAUUGUGCUGGCUCUGAGCCUUCCAACUAUACAGGGCAUAGGGACAAGAUUUAUAAUCUCACAGGUUAUUGGCUCUUCCUGCUUAUUCUUCAUACAGAAUCACAAUCCUCAGUUUGUAAUAUCAGUCCUCUCCACACAACCCAAUUAUGAUACCACAAAUUAAGGAAGACAUCAGAUGGAGAAUCAAUUGCAAGAUCAGAAGAACUCUUAAUGGUGACACCCCCAGACAGAUUGACAUCAGCACUGCCUAGCCUGUUUGAUGGCCUAUCAUGGUCAUCAGCUGUAUAAAGAACCCACUGAAAGGAGCCAGGGGCUACACCUUAUGAGUCAGCAGGACAAGUAGGGACAUGCCAUGUGCUGUGAAGCUUGUGUUUGGGACACAGGAAGUACAAGCCAGAUGGCAAAAGGAAUAUAAAGGACAGCUGCAUCAUCUCCAUUUUGUCUUUAUUUCUGCUUCUUACCUCUGGAGUAACUUUUCUACAAACAAAGCUCUGAACAAAGGACUGAAUGACCCAUCCAGGGAUAUUGCUAAGAACCUGAUAUAUGGACUCUGAAGUCUCUUUGCAGUAGAGUGGCUACCUGCUUCCCAGUGCCUGGACAAGCUAGGCAGAGGGUGCCCUGCAAAACAUUGUGUACAGAGGGAUGUCCUGGGAAUCCUCCAUAAAGAUCUCUAGAAAACUAUCAUGCAGAUGAAAGUGUAGCCUUUACACUUCCUCCACACCAGCGGAGAGGGUCUCCCAGAUAAGACAAAGGCGAAAGAAUGCAUGACAACAUUUAAUGAGAUAAUGAAUACCUCUGGGACAGUGGAAACUGAACAGAGGGCAUGGAGGAUUGCUCUUGCAGAAAACAUGGACACAGACAUUAUGAGGAGGAGAAAAGCCCCUAAGAAUGAGCAUGGCACAGAGAAGGUGAUGAUGGGGAUUCUGAAGGAACAAAGACAUGUUGAGGCAUCUGAAUGACCUACAGGAGAAACAGCUUGAGGCUUGACUCCCUCUGCAGCCCCUGCAGAACUGCAUUCCAACAUCGCUGUACUCCCCCCUCCCUCCACACACAUUCCAUUAGGUGUGGGGGGCAAAUGCAAUAUCCCUUCCGCUCAGCCUCAGGCAAGGAUGCACAGAAUCUCAGCCACACACACUGAUUUUUAAAGAGAUUAAUGUGUUUUCACAUUUUUACAAUGGGAGGGGGCCCAUUGUAUUCCCAUCUUUCCAAGGUUUAAUUCUUUGUCAAUUUUUUUUUGCACGCGCGCACACACACACACACACACUAAAAGUCCAUGUCUUGAAAAUGAAAUAUUUAUUAAUUCAAAGUGUGGGGAGGCAAAGGGGGAAAACUGAGACACGGGGGUAUGAGCACAACUUCAAAGGCCCAGAGUGGUGAAUGGAAAUCAGGAGUCCUGGCUCCUAUCCCUUCCACACUAAGCAGCAGCCCACACUCCCCUCACUCAUGGCAGCCACUGUUUCAUCCCCCAACACAGAUGAGUUGCUGGGUCAAUGCACAUUCCCCAGGCAUCAAGUACAUCCCCCUUCACCAGCAGUACCUUUGGAAGGGCCAAGGCUGAAUGGAAUUUCUCCCCAGUGAUGGUCUUCCAGCAGUAGGUUGGGAGGCAGCUCUAGUGGUGCUAGUGAGCAGGAGCUGUACGUUAUUUUCAGAGCAAAGCAACAGGUAUUUUUUCCAAGGUAACAUCACUACAUACACAGCAAGGUUCAGACUACUGGUAGGCACAACACAGGAAAGCACCACACAUUACUGUGGGUCAUUUUAACAGGUUGUGCUCACCACUGUGAUGCCUCCUGCUGGUUUCUUUGGGAAUUAGCUCUGUCCAUCAGCAGGGCAUCCUCCUCUUGUGGCGUCUCACUUUCCAUCACUGCUUCUCCACAGUCUCUGGGGACCUGCCUUGUUCCAGACUACGGCGUCCUCUUCAGGGCAUGGCCCUCCGGCUGUGCCCCAACUCAGUUAUCUCCCCUUCUGGGUGAACCAGCAGUCCUUCGUUUGGCUUCUUGCUGCAGUGGCAAACUGCAGCCCCUAGUCCAGCCCCUUGCUCGGGGCAAACUGCAGUCCUUUGGCUGGCCACUUCCCUUGGCAGCCAGUGGGGCAAAGGGGGAGCAGGGCCAGGCCCACCCGCUACUCUGGGCCCCAACCCAUGGACCCUAUAGCAGGCGCUCACUGCCUCUCCUUCCCCUCUGCUGCUACCUGCUUUCCCUGGGCCACUUCCCCAUAGCCCCCAGCACCUACUUGGCCCCUGUAUCAAGGCCACAGUCUGGAAGCUCUGCUUGCUCCCCCAACCCUGCCCAGCACUGCCCUGUCCCAGGUACUUCUCUCUACAGGCAGCCAGUCCUUCUCCCUCAAGCUCCAGGGACAAACCCAGCUCCUCUCUUCCCUGCAGCCCUUCUUCUAGGACCCAACCUGGCCCUGAUUGGCUGCUUCUAAGCCUUCCUCUGGUUGGUUGGGUUUUGCGCAGCUGCUCCAAGAGCUGCUAUUAAUCCUUUGACAGACAAUGAGGGGCACUGCCCCAUCACAGUCAUUAAUAAAAUGGGUUUUCAAAGUCUGAGAUACACUGCUUCACGUCAGCGAUUCUUCAAAUGGACAAAGGCACAUUCAACCAUUCUGCACUUGCUGAGCCUAUUGUUUAAUCCAGGGGCAGGCAACCUAUGGCACGUGUGCCGAAGGUGGCACACAAGCUGAUUUUCAGUGGCACUCACACUGCCCGGGUCCUGGCGACUGGUCCAGGGGGCUCAUAGAAAGAGGCCUUCUAAAAACGUUAAAAUGUAUUACUGGCACGUGAAACCUUGAAUUAGAGUGAAUAAAUGAAGACUCAGCACACCAUUUCUGAAAGGUUGCCGACCCCUGGUUUAACCGCUCACAGCUGCGGCCCAGAUGUCUGGUGUAUGGCUUCACGAGUGAUGGGAGUAAGGGGUAGGCUGGACCUCCCAGGGUCACUAUUGGCAUUUCAACAUCAAUGGUGAUUUUGCAGUCUGGAAAACAAGUCCUUGCUUACAGCUUUCUGAGCAGACCUGUGUUCUUAAAGAUGCAUGCAUCAGACACCUUCCUGGACCAUCCCAUGUUGUCAGUAAAACCUCCCCAUGUGAUCCACCAGCACUUGCACCACCAUAGAAAAGUAUCCCUUGCUGUUUAUGUACUCUGACAAUGGUGGUCUGGUGCCAAUAUGGAUAUGCAUGCUAUCGCUCCACUGCAGUUCAAGAACCCCAUUGCAGCAAAACCAUCCAGUAUCUCCUGCACAUCGCCCAGAGUGACCCUUCUUAGGAGAAGACGAUUAAUGGCCCUGCAUACUUGGAUCACAGCAACCCACACAGUGGAUUUCCCAACUACAAAUUGAUUCCCCACUGACCAGUAGCAAUCUGGCAUUGCAAGCUUCCACACAGCAAUCGCCACUCGCUUUUCCCACUAUCAGAGCACGUCUCAUUUUAGUGUUGCUGCACUGCAGGGCUGGGGAGGGCUCAGCACACAGUUCCUUGAAAGUGGCCUUAUGUGUAUAAAAGUUCUGCAGCCACUGCUCAUCAUCCCAUACUUGCAUAACGAUGCAAUCCCACCAAUCAGCUUGCUUCUCAGAGCCAGAAUUGGCACACCACUGUGUUCAGCUGCUACGCGACUGCCAACAACCAGGAAUUGUUUUGUUCCAUGGCUUCCAGCAAGGCUACUUGAAGGACAUUGCAAUGUUCCGUGCAGCAGCUCCUCUGAAAAUACCACUGGAUAAGGUGCACAGUUUUUGUGAUGCUCACAAUAAUAGUGCACAGCUGUCUGGAUCCAUAUUUCACUAGAGAUGGUAUAUGCACAAUUAUGCCAGCCUUUUGGAAAAUAUUAUGGGUUGCAGAUAAAAUCAGGGGAGGGAGAAAAGUAUAUCGUGGGAUGCCGAAGCCAUGUUCCCAGUCACCCCUGUUUGCAAACCCUUCCCAAACCCCCCUGCGGCUAUGCAUGCAAGCACUGCUAGUGAGGAUGCACUCCACUGACAAGGACCGUGGCAUGGACAUGCACAAACAAUUUAAUUACUCCGGUGCCUGUAUGUCGACUUAAAGUUUGUAGACAUGCCCUGAGACUGAAAUGUGAGCGUUAAUCAGUCCCACUGUCUGAAGUCUGAGUUAACUACUGCCUGAUGGUGAGGAGCAGAGCUGAAAUGAGCUAAGCAGGGUGACUUGGUAUAAAAAGUCAGUUCCCAGGCAAAUUCCAGCACCGCGAAUAGAGGCAGAAAACAGUUAUGGCAGGAGCUUAGAGAAAAUGAUAUUUUUCUUCCUUCCAGGUCCCACUCUGAUUUCAAGAUGACCAGCAACAGAACAGUUGUGGUGACUUGCCACAGAUGUGCCAUGUUUUCUUUCCUGUCUGAAGUCAGAAGUCACUUCCUGUGCAUGAAAUGCAAGUUGGUGGCUGUGGCGGAGGAAGUUUCUUAGAUUAAGGGGCAAGCAGAGAUGCUGAGGAGUUCCUAGACAGCCAGAUACAGGAACCAUCAGGUUCAAGAACAAAAGGAGCUGGCCACCAAAGAAUCAGAAAAAGAGGAAGUCAGGGAAGACCUGACACUGUGUAAGCAUGAGAAGAGGUCAGAGCGGUGCUCUUCACAGCUGGGGACAGAUGAAGAUGGGCAGGCUGUGGCUACCAGAGAAGAGAGGACCAGGAGGAAUUCCACACAGCUAGCAGUUUCCAAUCGAUAUCAGGUCCUCAACAUGAAAACUGUGGAAGAUCUCAAUAUCCAGCUGGUCCAAGGGAAUGUACGGGACACCAUCUAACCCUGAAGAUGGUAGCUCAACUCAACCUGUAAGAAAAAAAAUCAAGUUUGCCUACGAAGAGUUCUCCACCUGUAUAAAGAUGACAAACUAUUCUUGUUGGGGAUUCAAUACUUGGAAGAACUGAAAAAACAUUCUGCAAGGCACAGGACAACAGGAUGGUAUGCUGCCUUUCCAGAGCCAAAACAUGAGACAUCACUCUAACAAUGAAUAGGAUUCUCAAGUUAAUGGGCAAGGAUCUAUUCAUGAUGGUUCAUAUCACUAAUGACACUGCAUUGUGGGAUAUCACAGAUCAGACAAGACUUCAGGGUACUUGGAAGGGUGUUGAAGGAGAAGAAUUUCCAAGUGAUCACAGUUUCUUCCUGUGCUGUAAGCAAAGGAAGACAAGGCAGAAGUCUUUGGAAGUGAAGUACUAGCUAGGUAAGUGGUGUAGACAUUUGAUAUUGUGGAACACCAACCACCUUCUAUGGUAAAAGGAGAUUGCAUAGUUUAGAUGACCUCCAUCUCAGUAGAAAGGGAACCAAUCUCCUAAGAGCCAGGCUGGCCAGAUUAGUCAGGAGUGCACUAAACUAACAACAAAAGGAGAGUAAAAAGAGGCAAGAUACAAGCACUCAUUUAGCACAAAAAUCAAUCAAGGAACCAAGGGACAUGAAGAAAUUCUUAAUUUGCCUAUAUACUGAUAGCAAGAGCAUGGGUAACAAGAGGAAUUGAAACUGCUCAUUUAGGAACAAAUUCCACCUAGUUGGUAUUACUAAACCUGAAAGGGAAUGAUCUCCAUGACUGGAUUAUUGAAAUCAAUGGUUGUAACCUAUUUAGAAAGGAUCAAGUGGGCAAAAACAGGACUGGGAGUAGCACUCAGUCAAAAAAUGUUUUGGGAGUCACUGAUAACUUGGAAGAAAAUGAUUUUGAAAGCUUGUGGAUCAACAUCCUAACAGAUAAAGUACAAGAUGUGUAUUAGUUGGCAUCUGCUACAGACCACCAAAUCAUACCAGGGAACAGGAUGAUUGGCUCCUUACACAACUACCUAUCAUGUGUAGGGAAAAAAAGCUGUGAGAUCAUGGAGGACUUCAAAACAUAUGCUAGACAUACCAUGCACCAGUACUACAACACCCACAGAAUUUCUAAGUAUUAUAAAUGACAAUUUCCUAACUCAAAAAAUGUUGCCUCCAACACAGGGGAAUUCUAACUAGACCUCACCUGAGGGAUAAAGAGGAACUAAUCACACAACUAAGCGGUAACUGUAGUUUAGGUACAAGUGAUCAUAACUUAAUCACAUUUAUAAAGUGCAAACCGAAUGAAGUCCAAACCAGUAAUAUAUAUGGUUCUUGAAAAUGUCAGUUUCACAAAACUGAAAACAACUGAGCCAAAUUAGCUGGAACAAUUUAAUAGGAAAAAUGUGAAUGAUAAUUGCGAAUUGUUUAAGUACUUUACUAGCUGUCCAAAAAGCCACACUCAAGACUAUAUUGGUUAAAAACAACCUAGUUUAGAAGGGAAGGGAAGUGACCUAUAAAAAUAAAAAUAUAAAAUAAAUGGAAGAAAGGGGAAGACAGCAUAAAUAUAAAUCAGAAAAUAGGAAUUGUUAGCAAAUUGAUCAGAUAACCAAAGGGACAAGGAAAAGUCUAUGGCCACCAGAGUUAAGGAUAAUAGAGAGUUUAAAAGUAAAACAAAGAAUCCUAACAGCAUUGGUCCAUUACUAGAUGGAAAUGGCACAAUUAUCAAUACUGAAAAGUCAGAAGUGUUCAGUAAAUAUUUGUUCUGUAUUUGGGAAAAAACAGACGAUACAGUCAUAUGCUAACACUUUCAUUCUACUAGCAUCUCUGGAGGAUGUUAAACAGCAGCUACUAAAGUUAAAAAUAUUUUAAUCAGUAAGUCCAGAUAACCUGCAUCCAACCGUUUUAAAAAAGCUGGCUGAGGAACUUGCUGGACCAUAAUGUUUAUUUUCAAUAACUCUUGGAACACUGGGGAAGUUCCAAAAGAUUGCAAAAAAGGUAACGUUGUGCCAUUAUUUAAUAAGGGUAAAGGAAAUGACCCAGGUAAUUAUAGGCCUGUCAGUUUAACACUGAUCCCAGGUAAGAUAACGGAAUGACCGAUACUAGACUUGAUUAAUAAUGAAUUAAAGGAGGGUAAUAUAAGUAAUGCCAAUCAACUUGGGUUUAUGGAAGAUGGAUUCUUUCUAACUUGACUCUUUAUGAGAAUACAAGUUUGGUUAAUAAAGGCCAUAGUGUUGAUAUAAUAAACUGAAAUUUUUGUAAGCAUUUUACUUGGUACUACAUGACAUUUUGAUUAACAACUAGAAGGAUAAAAUUAACAGGGCACACAUUAAAAGCUGGCAAAUUGAUAGGUCUCAAAAUGUAGUUAGAAAUGGGGAAUCAGCAUUUCGAGGGUGUUUCUAGAGGGGGUCCCACUGGGAUCGGUUCUUGGUCCUAUGCUAUGUAACAUUUUUAUCAGUGACCUGGAAGAAACCAAAAUCCUUGAAAGUUUGCAGAUGACAAAUAUUAGGGGAGUGGUAAAAUAAGGAAAGAGGACAGGUCACUGAUACAGAGCAAGACGGAUUGCUUGGCCUCAAGCAAACUAUGUUUUAAUAAUGGCUAAAUAUAUACACAUCUAGGAACAAAGAAUGUAGGCCAUAUUUAAAAGAUGGGGGACUAGCCUAGGAAGCAGUGACUGUAAAACAUUUAGGGGUCAUGGAGAAGGAUGAGCUGAACAUGAGCUCCCAAUGAAAGACUGUUGCCAAAAGGGCUAAUGCAAUCCUUGGAUCCAUGAACAGGGGAAUCUCAAAGAGCAGAGAUUAUUUUACCUCUAUAUUUGGUACUAAUGUGACCACUGCUGGAAUACUGUUAUCCAGUUCUGGUGUCCGUAACUCAAGAAGGAUGUUGAUAAAUUGGAGACAGUUCAGAGAAAAGGCAUGAAGAUGAUUAAAGGAUCAGAAAACAUGGCAUAGAUUGAGCUCCUUGCAGCUAUCACUAUAUCUUAAAGAGAAGAUUAAAGGGUGACUUGGUUACAGUCUAAGUACCUACACAGACCAAAAAAAAUAUUUGAUAAUGGGAUCUUCAACCUAGCAAAGACAGAUAAAAUUCAAUGACUGGCAGUUGAAGUUAGACAAAUUCAGACGGGAAAUAAAGCACCUAUUUUUAACAGUGAGAAUAAUUAACCAUUGAACAAUUUACCAAGGGUCAUGGUAGAUGCUCCAUCUCUGAAUGUUUUCCUAAGAGAUAUACUCUAGAAAUUAUUUUGGGGAAGGUUCUAUGGCCUGGAUUGUACAGGAGAUCAGACUGGAUGAUCACAGUGGUCCCCUUCUAGCCUUGAAAUCAAUGAAACAGUCUCAUAUUUGGGCUGGAUUGGUAUUUGCACUGAUUGUGCCUGAGCAACACAGCAGCCUUAUGACUAGAAUCAAGUCUAUUGUACCACAAAAGCCAUUUGGACUUGUCAUUCAAUUCACCAGAAAGCUUUGGCAGCCAAGCAAUGCCAGCAGAACUGACAAAAGUACUUGAUAAGGCUUUGAAGUUUACAACUUUUACUUGGUAAAUGCAUGCCUCUUCUAUUUUAUGAAAGAAAAUGGGCACUCAGCAGCAGCUCUUCUUCCACAGUGGUACUUGCUGACUUUCACAAGGAAAGUUCUGAAUGGUGUUUUUAAAUUCAAAGAAACAAGGAUUUUUCCUUGCUGAAUGUAGCUCAGCCCUUGCAGAACGCUCAUCAGUGAAGUACUCCUUUAUUCUGAAAGUUCAUCUGCAGAGGCAGAAUAUGGCAUGGGUUCUCAACCUGUGAUUACAAACAGGUGUCUGAGUUGUAACCACCAAACCAUUUCUAUAUUGCUAAUUGGGAAGGAGGAGGAGUACAGGUAUGGCAAAGGUUCAGAAUGACCACACUAAGGGCUUGUCUGUGCCAGAGACUUUUGCACUCAUGUAACUAUAGCUACACCAAUAUAACCCCCCCACUACUAUACUGCAUCAAUAUAAAAGUGAUUUGCACCAAUACAGAUCAAUUUGGAGGUAAGACACUGCUAUAGGUUGCUUUUUAUUUACAUCAUCAUUGUAACACAUUUAUCGUAGGGAACUACAAUGUGCAGAACUCUGGUGUAGACAGACCCUAUGAUGAAUCACCUCCAGAAAACAUGUUUAAGACAAGGUUUCUCAGAGCUUCAUUCAACUUUGUUUGAUCAACUCAACUAGGCAACUGAUUUUUGCUGAUCCUAGGGUAGCAACUUAAAAUGGAUUUCACUCCAUUUCAUACUCCGCCACAAGACUUUGUUACAGGAUACUCAAAUACCAGAUCACUUGUAUAAAGAUAUCCCUGCCCCUUCCAAAAGUAUCUUGUGCCCAUCCAGAAGUAUGUCUUACUAGUUCACUAGCAGGUUAAGCAUGGUUCACUGGGAGAAUUCAUAUAGCAAUGACCAGGGCAGUCAGGCUGUAUUGCUUUGCAUUAAUUGCCUGUCAGAUGAUUAUGCUCAGCAAUCAGAAAGCAGGAACAUGGAGGCUGGCUAAAUGAACAGUGCCAGCAGUCUGAUAAUAGGGACAUUCAUAGCCAGACAUUUAAAAUCCAAGGUGAAAUGCUGUAACGCAGACCAGCUAUCUAUUCAAUAGGUAGUUAAACUAUUUUCCAGAAUAAUGCUCCAUUUACAAUUAUAUUUUUCAAUGUGUAAAAGCUAAAGGGACAUCAGCUUAGAAAUACCUGUCUAUUGUUUUCCUACUUGAUUAAAAGUAAUGCACAGUUUUUUUAAUGCAGCAACAGGCAAAAGAUUUUUAAUGCGGAAAAAAGGAACACUCCAAUUGUCAGGAGGUUUAGGAAGCCCAGAACAUGAAGCUACUUUUAACUUAUUUUAAACCAACUAGAUUUCAAAUUGCAUGCCCCUCUGAAUUGUUUGUUCUAUAUUUUACCCAAUGUUUAGAAGUCAGCUUAAUCUUUUAAGUACUUUUUUCCCCUGAACAUGAAGUUGUCUUAGUUGAUGCACCAACAUUGCGGUGUGAAAAAGUGGCUGUUAUUUUUCUUUGAGUCAAACAAAUGUCUGAGUAACAUCUGAAACAGAAUGAUGGAUUUAAAAAUAGUAAGAAUCCAGACUUUCUUCAGAUGUUUUGAAAGAAGAAAAGUUUGCAUGGAAGCACAUUUUGAUCUUAAGUUGCUAAAUAAUUUGAAUAAAUGCUAUUUCAAGACUGUGCUCCUUUGUGGCCUAUAAAGGCAUAUUGCUACUAUAAAAGCUAGUUGUAUAGGAACAUUAUUACAGGUCAAUUAAAUACAAACAGUACUUAAGAUUCUACCUGUACUAAGUAGUGUCUUAUUGCUUCAACUAUGGGUUACUAAUAACCUUAAGAUUUACCAGUGGUGUCAGAUUUUUAUUCUAAACAUGCAACUAUUAACUGUGAAGGCCCAUUCUGGAAUUCCCAGUCAUGCGAGUCUAUUCACGUACAAGUAGUUCCACUGAAGUCGAGGAGACAACUUUAAUGAGUUAUCACAUUCAGACCUUCAUUGACGAGGAGAAAAAGGAUCCCUGUAGUUGUUCCCCUAUUUCAUACACAACUUGAUGACAGGGUGGACUGAUUUAAAUCAAAAUUUAAAUUAUGAAUUUUAAUCAUGAUUUCAAAAAGCAAGCAAGAAACCUUGAUUUAAAUAAGUUUUAGUUGCAUUUUACAUUUGUACUUCAGUUAUUUUUUUCUAAAGAAAGGUUGAUUCUCACCGUUUGGUAACUUUUAAAACAUGUUUAUCUGCAACUAAAUACAGCCUUUACACUAAACUUGACACCUUGCUAAUCAGGAGGAUGCACUAUAUAUAAUUGUCUAAAUACAUAUGUAGAUAACUUAAUUUGCAUUUAUUCAGAUUCUUAAUUUUUACCUUUUUAUUCUGUUAGAAAAUGGUGAAUGACUUACUAGAUAUUUUUUAUUUGUGAUUUGUAAAAAAAAUGUAUUCGGAUGGAAAUUCAAAUUUGAUUAAA